rnacentral:misc_RNA from 1 species
GAUGAAGAACGCAGCGAAAUGCGAUACUUGGUGUGAAUUGCAGAAUCCCGUGAACCAUCGAGUCUUUGAACGCAAGUUGCGCCUCAAGCCAUUAGGUUGAGGGUACGUCUGCCUGGGCGUCACAUAUCGUUGCCUGAUGCCAGUUUCCUCGUGAUGGGUGACUGUGCAGGGCGAAUGAUGGCUUCCCGUGAGCAUUGUUGCCUCAUGGUUGGUUGAAAAUUGAGUCCUUGGUAGGGAGCGCCGUGAUAGAUGGUGGUUGAGUGACGAACGAGACCCAAUCAUGUGAGACCCCUACCGAAUUUGGCCUUCAUGACCCACAUGCGUCUUUGGAACGCUCAUGACGAGACCUCAGGUCAGGCGGGGCUACCCGCUGAGUUUAAGCAUAUCAAUAAGCGGAGGA